CUUCAUUUGAAAUUACGAUCAAUGAUAAAGAGGUUUUUUCUAAACUGAAGUUGAAAGGUUGGCCAAUCGAAGAGAAUCUGAUUGAGGUUAUACGGCAAGCUGAUCGUGGCAUGGAACCAAAAGAAUUAUCAACUUGCAGGAAAGCUUGUUGUGCCAUUUGUUAAACCGGGGUGUGAUUAAAAAGACGGACAUCAAAAUAUUUGUAAAAUGUAAAACAAAAAUUUUACUCCCAUUUGCCAUUUAUGUAGCUCAUUGAAGAAAUAAGAUGUAAAAACCAAACACUUCAACAACCGAAAUAAAAAAAGUGGAACUCUUAAUAAAAAAAACAACAACAGAAAAUUUAAUAUUUAAUCGUUUUAUACUAAACUGAAACUUUACGAUACAAGGCAAUAAUUGUGUUUAAAAUAAAUUAGUUGAAGGCUAUGGGGAAAUAAAUUAUUUUGAUAAGUGAUAAAGUAGUAUUUUAAAAUGAAGCAGACAAAAAUAGGAAAAAAAUAAAAUAUCAAUUUAUCCGUGAAUAUCUUUUAUUUACCUUAAAAAUUUAAAAAUAUUCAGUUACUUAUAGUAGAGAAAUAAGUUGGUGAUAAAUUUAAGUAAACAACCACCACAUUAAACAAAACUAGAAUUAGUUUAAAAUCUGAGCAAGACGAAAAUAAUCGUCAUUAAAGCUGAAAGUAAAAUUAAUAAAAUGUUCAUUAAAAAGUCGAGUACACCGUUCAUAUUUUUGAUUUUUUGAAGCUAUCAUUUUAUCAAUAAAUGAAAACAGUGGUAAAAAGCGAUGAAGCCACAGUUUGAUGUAGACUUGAAGGAUGAUAGGUUUCUUAAUCAAUCACCAAUAAGAUCGUUCUGUAUUGAAACUAAAAAAUAUUAAAGACAUUAAAAUUGAAAGUAUU